CGCGCCAGUGAAGACGCAUCAAGUGCGCAUUGGAGAGCUGAGGUGUCCAGUACGCACGCAGGAUGAAUAGAUGAUUUGCUGCACACUGUGAAAAAAAAAAUAUAUUUUUUAAUUGUAGAGUAUUUGUUAUUAUAGGUAGAUUGCCUUAUAAUUGUCUUGGAAGCCUUACCGGUAUAGAUCACAUUUUACCCUGCUAAUGUCAUAUUUGAUUGUGUUGGGAAACAUUAGUCUUGAGGCCUAAGUGCCAUGCCUGUAUGCGUCCUACACUCUUUAUUUAGUUUAUCUGGCAAAAAGUGUCUCGACAGUAGACAGCGCGAUGAACUUUAGUUGCAACUUUAGUGACGAACGGUGGAUUCCAUGGAACGGAACGGACUACGACGAUGCCACCAACAAACUACUUGGGAUCGGCACGGAUAACUUCAUCACACUCCUGGUGUUCGGACUUAUCUUUACUCUGGGCGUGCUGGGAAACUCUAUGGUGAUCACGGUGUUGGCCCGGAGCAAGCCUGGUAAACCGCGGAGCACCACAAACAUUUUCAUCCUCAAUCUCAGCAUCGCUGACUUGUCCUACCUGCUUUUCUGUAUCCCUUUCCAGUCAACCAUUUAUAUGAUGCCAACUUGGGUGCUGGGCGCGUUCAUUUGCAAGUUUAUCCAUUAUUUCUUUACCGUGUCUAUGUUAGUGAGUAUUUUUACUCUGUCCGCGAUGUCUGUGGACCGUUACAUUGCCAUUGUCCACUCGAGAAAGUCGUCGUCGAUCCGAGUAGCAAAGCACGCUUUUAUCGGAGUGGUGAUCAUCUGGAUACUGUCCCUGGCAAUGGCUGCGCCAGUCAUGUAUUAUCAGAACAUAUUUAAAAGAGGCGAGAAUCAUACAUAUUGUUGGGAAGUGUGGCCGGAUCAAAUUCAGAAAAAAGUCUAUGUUGUUUGCACUUUUGUUUUUGGCUACGUAUUACCCCUUCUACUCAUUUCGUUCUGUUACGCAAAGGUUUUAAAUCACUUGCACAAAAAACUUAGAAACAUGUCAAAAAAAUCUGAAGCAUCAAAGAAGAAGACAGCUCAGACUGUGCUGGUGGUGGUGGUGGUGUUCUGUCUCUCCUGGCUCCCCCACCAUGUGGUGCAUCUCUGGGUCGAGUUUGGCUCCUUCCCCCUGAACCAGGCCUCCUUCGUCCUGCGAGUGGCGGCCCACUGCCUGGCCUACAGCAACUCCUCCGUCAACCCCGUCAUCUACGCUUUCCUGUCCGAGAAUUUCCGGAAGGCCUACAAGCAGGUGUUCCGCUGUCAGAUCACUGGAGAUUCUCCACUCGACAAUAUCAAGGAGGCCCGCAGCAAGGCGGACACACCACCCUCCACUAACUGCACCAAUGUCUGAUCUGAACGCCGGCUCUGGUUGUUCCAGAUGGACCAACUGGUCCUAAGCUGCAUUAUAGCACCGGGGCAUUUGUUCAUGCCUCUUUUACCAUACACAAGGAGCAGUGUUAGGGUGGGUGUGUACUGUAAUUUACACAGGAAGCUAUUAAGAGUUUUGAGAGAGGAGUCGAGAUGGGUGCAGUGUUCAGAUGUGUAAAGCACUGGACCUACACAGUUGUGUUUUAUUGGAGUAGUUAUUGACAUAUAUUUGCUAUUAGGAUCUAAUGAGCAUGAACAUUUGGUUUAUGUUGGAGUGUGUUGUGUUAAUGUGUUGGGGUGGAUGUGUUGGAUAUGUUGAGGUGGAUGUAUUGAGUCUGGAUGUGUUUGCAUGAAUGUGUUGGGGUGGAUGUGUUGAGAUUGGAUGUGUUGAGGUUGGAUGUGUUGAGGUUGGAUGUGUUGGGAUGGAUGUGUUGGGAUGGAUGUGUUGAGGUUGGGUGCAUUGGGAUGGAUGUGUUGAGGUUUCAUGCGUUGGGAUGGAUGUGUUGAGGUUGGGUGCAUUGGGUUGGAUGUGUUGAGGUUGGAUGCGUUGGGAUGGAUGUGUUGAGGUUUCAUGCGUUGGGAUGGAUGUGUUGAGGUUGGAUGUGUUGGGAUGGAUGUGUUGGGAUGGAUGUGUUGGGAUGGAUGUGUUGAGGUUGGGUGCAUUGGGUUGGAUGUGUUGAGGUUGGAUGCGUUGGGAUGAAUGUGUUGAGGUUGGAUGCGUUGGGGUGGGUGGGUAAAAGACAGCCCUGAAAAAGGCUGGAUCCUGCAUCAAGCUACAUUCAUACCAGCAUUUACAUGACCCCAGCCUCAACACUCUGGACAGUAUAACAUGAAAACCACACAUGUAUCUGUUUACUUCUCUAUUACUGUGUCAGUUCAUUAUGAAUUCUUCGGAACUCACCUCAUGUUUCUCGUAUUGUACUAUUGUAUGGAAAUGACAAGUUAAUUAAACAAAUUAUUCUACUUACAGUAUAGGAAUUAAAUGUAAGCAUAAAUGUUAGAUUAGUGACAUUUGAUGUUUCUUGUGUUUUGCAUUUUUUUUUGCUGGUUAUGACAAAGAAAUCAAAUGAAAAUCAUAUGCUAGAUAUUGCCCUGAAUGUCAGAAAUCCGCAUGAUUUAAUAUUCCCUUGGAAAUGCAAUCUGUAUAAAAAAAAAUACAAAAAAUGUAUUUGUUGUUGAAAGUGUUUUUCUCUCCACAGGGGACUGUCAAGGAAGCUCUGUGUGUGUGUGUGUGCGUGUGUGUGUGUGUGGGGGGGGGGGGGCACACAUAAUAUAUUCCAAACUAUAUGUACCAACUUUAACAGAACAUUAACAGCUUUACAUACACUUUUAGCAUUUUAACAGCAAACAAAUUUGAGUUAAAAUGAUACAUAUUGUUAAUGUGCACUUGGUAAAGGGAAGUAACUUUGCAUUUGUUUAACAAAUGGACUGUGGAUGCUCACCACCUAGGCUCUUCAAUUUGUUGAUGGCUGUAUUAUUCUCUUGACUGUUUUCAAAGACUAAUCUUGAAUCUUAGCAGUCUUGUUUCCAAAAACUUUCAUUGAUGUAAAAAUAUUGCUAUGUUUUCACAAAAGGUUUUUGUGAUUUGCUUUUGUCUUAUGGUCCUAAAACCCGUGUAUAUAAUUGUCUUGUUAUGUUCAAUUACAGCAGAAUAAAUUACAGGUUUUCAAUAAUGAAGAAUAAUUAGUCCCAUAUGCAUCAGAUUAACGAGUUUACAUGCCAUGGAUUGCAAAACACAUUUGUUGAAAGUUUUCCUUCCUGUAAGGUAUUUAUGGUGUUGAGAUGCUGGAAUCCAGAAUGUGUCAAUUCAAAUUCUCAACACACAAUGGUUAAAAUCAUAUAUUGCACAGUAUGUUACUCGAAGCAAACCUACAGGACAUGGAUUAUUUCUAGCUGUUUUUUGAUACAGCCCACACAAUGUCUGUUUUUCUACAUUGUUGUAAUUUUUAAGUAGACUUAAAGUAAUGUUUCUGUCCGUCUUGUGUUUUUCAAGCUGUAUUCUUGCCACUGUUAGGGUGCUUGAAGAUGUACUGCAUCAACUGUAAAUUACGUCUACUGCAUCUACUGUGUGAAGCCUUAGGUAUUUUUGUCACUCUACUCUUCAUAUUCAAAUUCUGUAUGAUUUUGAGGAACUGUCAGAUCUUUCUGAAACGCAUUUUCACUGAUUAUUCUGAAAGAAAUAUAUAUUUCUUUGAAACCUCAUGCUUUAAUUGUUCCUUAAUAUCAACAGUAAAUUGUUUAGCAUUUUGUGGCAAGCAAAAUCAAAAAUGUCAUAAAAAGGAAUGAUCAUAAAAUAAUAACCUACAUAAUUUGUUUAAUUAUCAUAAUCGACUGUGGAAGAAGAAAUGGACAGAGCAUCUUUCUUGAAGUAUUCAUGCUGGCCGAUCAUUUGUUUGUUCCAACCUCUCUAGUUGAAUCCAAGACAAAUAAAAUAUGAU